rnacentral:rRNA from 1 species
GAUGAACGCUGACAGAAUGCUUAACACAUGCAAGUCGAUGGGGAAGUGGUGCUUUCACCAUGGCCACCAUGGCGGACGGGUGAGUAACGCGUAAGGGACUUACCUGCAGGACUGGGAUAACAGGGGGAAACUCCUGACAAGACCGGAUAAUGUCAUGGAGCUUCCUGGCUUUAUGAUGAAAGGAGACGCCUGCGGAGAGCCUUGCGUCCUAUUAGCUAGUUGGUGAGGUAAUGGCUCACCAAGGCGAAGAUAGGUAGCCGGCCUGAGAGGGUGGACGGCCACAAGGGGACUGAGAUACGGCCAUUACUCCUACGGGAGGAAGCAGUGGGGAAUAUUGGACAAUGGGGGCAACCCUGAUCCAGCAAUUCUGUGUGCACGAAGAAGGUUUUCGGAUUGUAAAGGGCUUUCAGCAGGGAAGAAGUAAGUGACGGUACCUGCAGAAGAAGCGACGGCUAAAUACGUG